rnacentral:rRNA from 1 species
UUAAGCGACUAAGCGUACACGGUGGAUGCCCUGGCAGUCAGAGGCGAUGAAGGACGUGCUAAUCUGCGAUAAGCGUCGGUAAGGUGAUAUGAACCGUUAUAACCGGCGAUUUCCGAAUGGGGAAACCCAGUGUGAUUCGUCACACUAUCAUUAACUGAAUCCAUAGGUUAAUGAGGCGAACCGGGGGAACUGAAACAUCUAAGUACCCCGAGGAAAAGAAAUCAACCGAGAUUCCCCCAGUAGCGGCGAGCGAACGGGGAGCAGCCCAGAGCCUGAAUCAGUGUGUGUGUUAGUGGAAGCGUCUGGAAAGGCGCGCGAUACAGGGUGACAGCCCCGUACACAAAAAUGCACAUACUGUGAGCUCGAUGAGUAGGGCGGGACACGUGGUAUCCUGUCUGAAUAUGGGGGGACCAUCCUCCAAGGCUAAAUACUCCUGACUGACCGAUAGUGAACCAGUACCGUGAGGGAAAGGCGAAAAGAACCCCGGCGAGGGGAGUGAAAAAGAACCUGAAACCGUGUACGUACAAGCAGUGGGAGCACGCUUCGGCGUGUGACUGCGUACCUUUUGUAUAAUGGGUCAGCGACUUAUAUUCUGUAGCAAGGUUAACCGAAUAGGGGAGCCGAAGGGAAACCGAGUCUUAACUGGGCGUUAAGUUGCAGGGUAUAGACCCGAAACCCGGUGAUCUAGCCAUGGGCAGGUUGAAGGUUGGGUAACACUAACUGGAGGACCGAACCGACUAAUGUUGAAAAAUUAGCGGAUGACUUGUGGCUGGGGGUGAAAGGCCAAUCAAACCGGGAGAUAGCUGGUUCUCCCCGAAAGCUAUUUAGGUAGCGCCUCGUGAAUUCAUCUCCGGGGGUAGAGCACUGUUUCGGCAAGGGGGUCAUCCCGACUUACCAACCCGAUGCAAACUGCGAAUACCGGAGAAUGUUAUCACGGGAGACACACGGCGGGUGCUAACGUCCGUCGUGAAGAGGGAAACAACCCAGACCGCCAGCUAAGGUCCCAAAGUCAUGGUUAAGUGGGAAACGAUGUGGGAAGGCCCAGACAGCCAGGAUGUUGGCUUAGAAGCAGCCAUCAUUUAAAGAAAGCGUAAUAGCUCACUGGUCGAGUCGGCCUGCGCGGAAGAUGUAACGGGGCUAAACCAUGCACCGAAGCUGCGGCAGCGACACUAUGUGUUGUUGGGUAGGGGAGCGUUCUGUAAGCCUGUGAAGGUGUACUGUGAGGUAUGCUGGAGGUAUCAGAAGUGCGAAUGCUGACAUAAGUAACGAUAAAGCGGGUGAAAAGCCCGCUCGCCGGAAGACCAAGGGUUCCUGUCCAACGUUAAUCGGGGCAGGGUGAGUCGACCCCUAAGGCGAGGCCGAAAGGCGUAGUCGAUGGGAAACAGGUUAAUAUUCCUGUACUUGGUGUUACUGCGAAGGGGGGACGGAGAAGGCUAUGUUGGCCGGGCGACGGUUGUCCCGGUUUAAGCGUGUAGGCUGGUUUUCCAGGCAAAUCCGGAAAACUAAGGCUGAGGCGUGAUGACGAGGCACUACGGUGCUGAAGCAACAAAUGCCCUGCUUCCAGGAAAAGCCUCUAAGCAUCAGGUAACAUCAAAUCGUACCCCAAACCGACACAGGUGGUCAGGUAGAGAAUACCAAGGCGCUUGAGAGAACUCGGGUGAAGGAACUAGGCAAAAUGGUGCCGUAACUUCGGGAGAAGGCACGCUGAUAUGUAGGUGAAGCGACUUGCUCGUGGAGCUGAAAUCAGUCGAAGAUACCAGCUGGCUGCAACUGUUUAUUAAAAACACAGCACUGUGCAAACACGAAAGUGGACGUAUACGGUGUGACGCCUGCCCGGUGCCGGAAGGUUAAUUGAUGGGGUCAGCGCAAGCGAAGCUCUUGAUCGAAGCCCCGGUAAACGGCGGCCGUAACUAUAACGGUCCUAAGGUAGCGAAAUUCCUUGUCGGGUAAGUUCCGACCUGCACGAAUGGCGUAAUGAUGGCCAGGCUGUCUCCACCCGAGACUCAGUGAAAUUGAACUCGCUGUGAAGAUGCAGUGUACCCGCGGCAAGACGGAAAGACCCCGUGAACCUUUACUAUAGCUUGACACUGAACAUUGAGCCUUGAUGUGUAGGAUAGGUGGGAGGCUUUGAAGUGUGGACGCCAGUCUGCAUGGAGCCGACCUUGAAAUACCACCCUUUAAUGUUUGAUGUUCUAACGUUGACCCGUGAUCCGGGUUGCGGACAGUGUCUGGUGGGUAGUUUGACUGGGGCGGUCUCCUCCUAAAGAGUAACGGAGGAGCACGAAGGUUGGCUAAUCCUGGUCGGACAUCAGGAGGUUAGUGCAAUGGCAUAAGCCAGCUUGACUGCGAGCGUGACGGCGCGAGCAGGUGCGAAAGCAGGUCAUAGUGAUCCGGUGGUUCUGAAUGGAAGGGCCAUCGCUCAACGGAUAAAAGGUACUCCGGGGAUAACAGGCUGAUACCGCCCAAGAGUUCAUAUCGACGGCGGUGUUUGGCACCUCGAUGUCGGCUCAUCACAUCCUGGGGCUGAAGUAGGUCCCAAGGGUAUGGCUGUUCGCCAUUUAAAGUGGUACGCGAGCUGGGUUUAGAACGUCGUGAGACAGUUCGGUCCCUAUCUGCCGUGGGCGCUGGAGAACUGAGGGGGGCUGCUCCUAGUACGAGAGGACCGGAGUGGACGCAUCACUGGUGUUCGGGUUGUCAUGCCAAUGGCACUGCCCGGUAGCUAAAUGCGGAAGAGAUAAGUGCUGAAAGCAUCUAAGCACGAAACUUGCCCCGAGAUGAGUUCUCCCUGACUCCUUGAGAGUCCUGAAGGAACGUUGAAGACGACGACGUUGAUAGGCCGGGUGUGUAAGCGCAGCGAUGCGUUGAGCUAACCGGUACUAAUGAACCGUGAGGCUUAACCUU